rnacentral:rRNA from 1 species
GACGAACGCUGGCGGCGUGCCUAAUACAUGCAAGUUGAGCGCUUAAGGUUGGUACUUGUACCAACUGGAUGAGCAGCGAACGGGUGAGUAACGCGUGGGUAAUCUGCCUUUGAGCGGGGGACAACAUUUGGAAACGAAUGCUAAUACCGCAUAAAAACUUUAAACACAAGUUUUAAGUUUGAAAGAUGCAAUUGCAUCACUCAAAGAUGAUCCCGCGUUGUAUUAGCUAGUUGGGGAGGUAAAGGCUCACCAAGGCGAAGAUACAUAGCCGACCUGAGAGGGAGAACGGCCACAAUGGGACUGAGAAACGGCCCAAACCCCCACGGGAGGGAGCAGGAGGGAAUCUUCGGCAAUGGACGAAAGUCUGACCGAGCAACGCCGGGGGAGGGAAGAAGGGUUUCGGAUCGGAAAACUCUGUUGGUAGAGAAGAACGUUGGUGAGAGUGGAAAGCUCAUCAAGUGACGGUAACUACACAGAAAGGGACGGCUAACUACGUG